AACCUCUCAGGAUCACACCUGGAGAGUUUCCGGUACCCUACCAGUUUCCACUAUGAGAGGGAGAGUCAUGUAGAGGCCUACCCAUUCCAUUCCUAGCUUGGGCAGUGGCUAGAGAGUGGAAGAUAAUCUGCUACAAAU